rnacentral:rRNA from 1 species
AUUGAACGCUGGCGGAAUGCUUUACACAUGCAAGUCGAACGGCAGCACGGACUUCGGUCUGGUGGCGAGUGGCGAACGGGUGAGUAAUGUAUCGGAACGUGCCCAGUCGUGGGGGAUAACGUAGUGAAAAUUACGCUAAUACCGCAUACGAUCUAUGGAUGAAAGCGGGGGAUCGCAAGACCUCGCGCGAUUGGGGCGGCCGACAUCAGAUUAGGUAGUUGGUGGGGUAAAGGCCCACCAAGCGAGCGAUCUGUAGCUGGUCUGAGAGGACGACCAGCCCCACUGGAACGGAGACACGGUCCAGACUCCUACGGGAGGCAGCAGUGGGGAAUUUUGGACAAUGGGCGAAAGCCUGAUCCAGCCAUUCCGCGUGCAGGAUGAAGGCCCUCGGGUUGUAAACUGCUUUUGUACAGAACGAAAAGGUUUCUACUAAUACUAGGAGCUCACGACGGUACUGUAAGAAUAAGCACCGGCUAACUACGUGCCAGCAGCCGCCGUAA